rnacentral:rRNA from 1 species
GGUUAAGCGACUAAGCGUACACGGUGGAUGCCCUGGCAGUCAGAGGCGAUGAAGGACGUGCUAAUCUGCGAAAAGCGUCGGUAAGGUGAUAUGAACCGUUAUAACCGGCGAUGUCCGAAUGGGGAAACCCAGUGUGUUUCGACACACUAUCAUUAACUGAAUCCAUAGGUUAAUGAGGCGAACCGGGGGAACUGAAACAUCUAAGUACCCCGAGGAAAAGAAAUCAACCGAGAUUCCCCCAGUAGCGGCGAGCGAACGGGGAGGAGCCCAGAGCCUGAAUCAGUGUGUGUGUUAGUGGAAGCGUCUGGAAAGGCGUGCGAUACAGGGUGACAGCCCCGUACACAAAAAUGCACAUGCUGUGAGCUCGAUGAGUAGGGCGGGACACGUGGUAUCCUGUCUGAAUAUGGGGGGACCAUCCUCCAAGGCUAAAUACUCCUGACUGACCGAUAGUGAACCAGUACCGUGAGGGAAAGGCGAAAAGAACCCCGGCGAGGGGAGUGAAAAAGAACCUGAAACCGUGUACGUACAAGCAGUGGGAGCCCUGAUUUAUCAGGGUGACUGCGUACCUUUUGUAUAAUGGGUCAGCGACUUAUAUUCUGUAGCAAGGUUAACCGAAUAGGGGAGCCGGAGGGAAACCGAGUCUUAACUGGGCGUUAAGUUGCAGGGUAUAGACCCGAAACCCGGUGAUCUAGCCAUGGGCAGGUUGAAGGUUGGGUAACACUAACUGGAGGACCGAACCGACUAAUGUUGAAAAAUUAGCGGAUGACUUGUGGCUGGGGGUGAAAGGCCAAUCAAACCGGGAGAUAGCUGGUUCUCCCCGAAAGCUAUUUAGGUAGCGCCUCGUGAAUUCAUCUCCGGGGGUAGAGCACUGUUUCGGCAAGGGGGUCAUCCCGACUUACCAACCCGAUGCAAACUGCGAAUACCGGAGAAUGUUAUCACGGGAGACACACGGCGGGUGCUAACGUCCGUCGUGAAGAGGGAAACAACCCAGACCGCCAGCUAAGGUCCCAAAGUCAUGGUUAAGUGGGAAACGAUGUGGGAAGGCCCAGACAGCCAGGAUGUUGGCUUAGAAGCAGCCAUCAUUUAAAGAAAGCGUAAUAGCUCACUGGUCGAGUCGGCCUGCGCGGAAGAUGUAACGGGGCUAAACCAUGCACCGAAGCUGCGGCAGCGACGCUGAUGCGUUGUUGGGUAGGGGAGCGUUCUGUAAGCCUGUGAAGGUGUGCUGUGAGGCAUGCUGGAGGUAUCAGAAGUGCGAAUGCUGACAUAAGUAACGAUAAAGCGGGUGAAAAGCCCGCUCGCCGGAAGACCAAGGGUUCCUGUCCAACGUUAAUCGGGGCAGGGUGAGUCGACCCCUAAGGCGAGGCCGAAAGGCGUAGUCGAUGGGAAACAGGUUAAUAUUCCUGUACUUGGUGUUACUGCGAAGGGGGGACGGAGAAGGCUAUGUUGGCCGGGCGACGGUUGUCCCGGUUUAAGCGUGUAGGCUGGUUUUCCAGGCAAAUCCGGAGAAUCAAGGCUGAGGCGUGAUGACGAGGCACUACGGUGCUGAAGCAACAAAUGCCCUGCUUCCAGGAAAAGCCUCUAAGCAUCAGGUAACAUCAAAUCGUACCCCAAACCGACACAGGUGGUCAGGUAGAGAAUACCAAGGCGCUUGAGAGAACUCGGGUGAAGGAACUAGGCAAAAUGGUGCCGUAACUUCGGGAGAAGGCACGCUGAUAUGUAGGUGAAGCGACUUGCUCGUGGAGCUGAAAUCAGUCGAAGAUACCAGCUGGCUGCAACUGUUUAUUAAAAACACAGCACUGUGCAAACACGAAAGUGGACGUAUACGGUGUGACGCCUGCCCGGUGCCGGAAGGUUAAUUGAUGGGGUCAGCGCAAGCGAAGCUCUUGAUCGAAGCCCCGGUAAACGGCGGCCGUAACUAUAACGGUCCUAAGGUAGCGAAAUUCCUUGUCGGGUAAGUUCCGACCUGCACGAAUGGCGUAAUGAUGGCCAGGCUGUCUCCACCCGAGACUCAGUGAAAUUGAACUCGCUGUGAAGAUGCAGUGUACCCGCGGCAAGACGGAAAGACCCCGUGAACCUUUACUAUAGCUUGACACUGAACACUGGUCCUUGAUGUGUAGGAUAGGUGGGAGGCUUUGAAGUGUGGACGCCAGUCUGCAUGGAGCCGUCCUUGAAAUACCACCCUUUAAUGGCUGGUGUUCUAACGUGGGCCCGUAAUCCGGGUUGCGGACAGUGUCUGGUGGGUAGUUUGACUGGGGCGGUCUCCUCCUAAAGAGUAACGGAGGAGCACGAAGGUUGGCUAAUCCUGGUCGGACAUCAGGAGGUUAGUGCAAUGGCAUAAGCCAGCUUGACUGCGAGCGUGACGGCGCGAGCAGGUGCGAAAGCAGGUCAUAGUGAUCCGGUGGUUCUGAAUGGAAGGGCCAUCGCUCAACGGAUAAAAGGUACUCCGGGGAUAACAGGCUGAUACCGCCCAAGAGUUCAUAUCGACGGCGGUGUUUGGCACCUCGAUGUCGGCUCAUCACAUCCUGGGGCUGAAGUAGGUCCCAAGGGUAUGGCUGUUCGCCAUUUAAAGUGGUACGCGAGCUGGGUUUAGAACGUCGUGAGACAGUUCGGUCCCUAUCUGCCGUGGGCGCUGGAGAACUGAGGGGGGCUGCUCCUAGUACGAGAGGACCGGAGUGGACGCAUCACUGGUGUUCGGGUUGUCAUGCCAAUGGCACUGCCCGGUAGCUAAAUGCGGAAGAGAUAAGUGCUGAAAGCAUCUAAGCACGAAACUUGCCCCGAGAUGAGUUCUCCCUGAGACUUAGAGUCUCCUGAAGGAACGUUGAAGACGACGACGUUGAUAGGCCGGGUGUGUAAGCGCAGCGAUGCGUUGAGCUAACCGGUACUAAUGAACCGUGAGGCUUAACCUU